rnacentral:rRNA from 1 species
AUUAGAGUUUGAUCCUGGCUCAGAUUGAACGCUGGCGGCAGGCUUAACACAUGCAAGUCGAGCGGUAGCACAAGAGAGCUUGCUCUCUGGGUGACGAGCGGCGGACGGGUGAGUAAUGUCUGGGAAACUGCCUGAUGGAGGGGGAUAACUACUGGAAACGGUAGCUAAUACCGCAUAACGUCGCAAGACCAAAGAGGGGGACCUUCGGGCCUCUUGCCAUCAGAUGUGCCCAGAUGGGAUUAGCUAGUAGGUGGGGUAAUGGCUCACCUAGGCGACGAUCCCUAGCUGGUCUGAGAGGAUGACCAGCCACACUGGAACUGAGACACGGUCCAGACUCCUACGGGAGGCAGCAGUGGGGAAUAUUGCACAAUGGGCGCAAGCCUGAUGCAGCCAUGCCGCGUGUGUGAAGAAGGCCUUCGGGUUGUAAAGCACUUUCAGCGAGGAGGAAGGUGGUGAGCUUAAUACGCUCAUCAAUUGACGUUACUCGCAGAAGAAGCACCGGCUAACUCCGUGCCAGCAGCCGCGGUAAUACGGAGGGUGCAAGCGUUAAUCGGAAUUACUGGGCGUAAAGCGCACGCAGGCGGUUUGUUAAGUCAGAUGUGAAAUCCCCGGGCUCAACCUGGGAACUGCAUUUGAAACUGGCAAGCUAGAGUCUCGUAGAGGGGGGUAGAAUUCCAGGUGUAGCGGUGAAAUGCGUAGAGAUCUGGAGGAAUACCGGUGGCGAAGGCGGCCCCCUGGACGAAGACUGACGCUCANGUGCGAAAGCGUGNGGAGCAAACAGGAUUAGAUA